rnacentral:rRNA from 1 species
GACGAACGCUGGCGGCGUGCUUAACACAUGCAAGUCGAACGGAAAGGCCCUGCUUUUGUGGGGUGUUCGAGUGGCGAACGGGUGAGUAACAUGUGAGUAACCUGACUUAGACUUUGGGAUCACUUCUGUAAACUGGGGCUAAUACCGGUUAGGCGCUCCUGCAGCAUGGUGGGGGUCGGAUGGUUUAGGCGGUUGGGGUUGGACUCGCGGCUUAUCAGGAUGUUGGUGGGGUUGUGGCUUACCAAGGCUUUGACGGGUAGCCGGCCUGAGAGGUGGACCGGCCACAUGGGGACGGAGACACGGCCCAGACGCCUACGGGAAGCAUCAGUGGUGAAUAGAGGACAGUGGGCGGAAGCCUGAGGCAGCAACGCCGCGUGCGGGAUUGCAGCCUUCGUGUGGUAGAGCGCUAGCGCCUUGGAUGAAACGGUAGUGACGGUAAUGGUAGAAGAAGCACCGGCUAACUACGUG